UCCUAAAAGAAGAAGUAAGAGUCCUUAUUGUUGGCAGUAAAAUCAGUGUUAAGGCUGCAGGUCGAAAGGGAGUCUGGAUUUCUAAAUAUUCCUAGUCAGAAUACUGCCAACACUAAAUUAGGUCUAUUUUGUUUUUAAAAUAGCUCUUGUCUGAUAAAUGCCUAUUUCCUUUGUAGAUACACAAUCUCAAGCCAAUGCUGUCUGUAAAGGUAAGUUUCUGUUCUUGUACUUACAGAACGCUAAGUAAAUAAAAAUAGUACCUUUAGUUGUGCCUUUGUGCCAUAAUGAUGAUACUUAUUUGCUACUCUUGAGAAAAUAAUGAUGAGAACACUUAACCCACCUUUGUUUCAAACUGAGGCACAAUCUAUGCUCUUAAAAAGAAUCUUUUGUAAUUUAAAACAGACAUUAAAACAUUUGCUGUUUUCUCUACAGGGUUUCACAAAUGAUUCUGUGAUCAUGGAACAAGGAUUGAUUCUGUGUUUGCAAAUAUGGGAACGCUACCCAUUGAUGUGCUGGCCUUCGGCUUCUCUAAUAUGGAUCAGCUUCAGAUGAUCAAACAUGUCUUAAUGUGAUUGAGCUGUGUUUCUGAAGAACCUCAAAAAAAGGUAAGUUGAAAUACAGAAAGUUGAUUCCCUGAGCAAUAUUAUAAAACCUUAAG
rnacentral:lncRNA from 1 species